CAGUAGCCGCGGGAAUACGAAGGGGGCUAGCGUUGUUCGGAAUUACUGGGCGUAAAGCGCACGUAGGCGGAUCGAUCAGUCAGGGGUGAAAUCCCAGGGCUCAACCCUGGAACUGCCUUUGAUACUGUCGAUCUGGAGUAUGGAAGAGGUGAGUGGAAUUCCGAGUGUAGAGGUGAAAUUCGUAGAUAUUCGGAGGAACACCAGUGGCGAAGGCGGCUCACUGGUCCAUUACUGACGCUGAGGUGCGAAAGCGUGGGGAGCAAACAGGAUUAGAGACCCCGGUAGUCCCUGUCUCUUAUAC
rnacentral:rRNA from 1 species